CAUAUGAUCACAUACCUUGAAGGCUAAGAGCGUGAGCUAUAUAUGGCGCUUGAAGUUAUGCCAUAUGGUCAAGUUCAAGUUACAAUAAUAGUUGUUCUAUAGUUAAUAUAUAAUAAAUUGAGCUCGCUAUGUAUAUAUAGCAGCUCACACGUGUAUGUUCAAUUGUAAUAAUCUAAACGUAAUAAAUAAAUAGCUUUCGGCUUUCUUAGCCUUUCAAGUAAUAAUGUAAUAAAUAAAUAGCUUUCGGCUUUCUUAGCCUUUCAAGUAAUAAUAUAAGAUCUAUCGUCUAGUACACUCUUUUGUUUGGCGUUACUCUUGGAAG